CCAAUAAAAGUUACAAAAUCCAAAAGCCCAUUCAACCACAAGUCACAAUUUACCAAAUUUUGACUCUAAAUCGCCAAUUAAAUCCCAAAAUUAACUCUAUAAUCCCUAGCCUAAAACUUCCAAAAUUCCACCUAAAAAAUACAUAAACUAGGUGGGAAAUGUAAUGGGGAAAUAAUAUGAUUGAAUAAAAAUUAUCACAAGUGACUUACCUCAAUAAACUCCUCGAAAUCCCUCUAAAAUAUUGCCGUAGUCCGAGCUUGCAAAGUCCAAAAUGAUUAAUAAUCACAAAACACUCAAAUUAAUAUUCUGUCCAGAGGUCUUUGCUUCUGCAGACCAUUUACCCGCACAUAUGGUCUCGCAGGCACAAAAACACCUCGCUUCAAAAAUACCCACUCAAACCCCGACCAUGCGCACCUGCACACCGUUCCCCGCAUCUGUGAGCACUUUUCCGAGGCCUCGUCCUCUUUUUCGGAGAGUGUUGCCAUAUGCCCCCUUUGCACCUGCGACCUAUUUCUGUAUCUGCGAUCUAUCAAGUGCAGACCAAAUAUCCCACCUGCAAUCACCCCCAAGAUUCCUUCCAACUUGCUUCUGCAUUCAAACACCUGCGACUAAUUCCAUCACAUGUGCGAUUGCACAAGAACUAAAACAUCAGUAUUCCCUCAAGUCCAAACUUCGAUCCGUUAACCAUCUGAACUCCACCCGAGGCCCUCGGGUCCUCAACCAAACAUACCAAAAAGUCUUAAAACAUGAUACAAAUUAUUCGAGUCCUCAAAUCACAUCAACAAUAUCGAAAACAUGAAUCACACCUCACUUCAAGCCUAAUAAAGUCCAAAACAUAUAAUUUUCCAAAAUACGAAAUCAAAAUCCGAGCCAGGUUACCACAAAGUCAACUCUCGGUCAAAAUUCUCAAUUUUCAAAACUUAUAAUUUUCCAACUUCAUCAUUUCAAGACAAAUCAAUUUCAGAACUCAAAAUCACUAUUUAGACAUAUUCUUAAGUCCAAAAUCACCAUACAGAGCUAUUGUAACCAUUAAAACUCUAUUUUGGAGUCUUUUACACAUAAGUCAAUAUGCGUUGGUUGUUAUUUGGCUUAUUUUCAGUUGUCUUAGUUGUUAUUUGACUUACCUAGCGGGUAGGGUUAGGAGCCAUCAUAACUAGUAGAUGUUGGAUUAUGGCAAGACUUACCCAUAUUCAUAUGUAAUAGGAACCUAUCAUUUAUACGUCCAAAUGUGAAAUGCGCAUGUCCAAACUGAUAUCACAAACAUGAAUGUAAAAUCAACACCCACGAACAACCUCAGAUGAAUAAUAAGAGCUAAACUCAUAUGCUAUCAUGGUACUUAUGAAGGAAAUAGUGUAUGAUUAUAUAUAUCUACCAUGUAACACAAAUACAUACAAUUCUUAAUGUUGAAUAUCAUGUGAAUGAUGCCUAUAACAUUAUUCUAGCAUGAAUAAGAUUCUCAACUAGUCAUACAAGAACUAAUCAUAAUAUACAAUAUUCUAUCGUGUCUACACUAGCUUAAAACAUGUGCCUAUAACAUGAUACUAACAUGUGAAAAUGUUUAUAGAGUCAUACGCAAGUAAAUCAUACAAAAAAAACAUAUACCAAAAAUAAGGAAUAAACAACGUAAAAUCUACCCAAAUCAUGGUAUAACAUUGGUAUAUGCAUAUGUCACAUUGCAUAUAAAUCACCCCUAAACACAUAACAUGUGGCACAUACAUUCAUUUUAAGAAAUAUUCAUUCGAGUCGAGGUUAAGCAAGAUACUUACCUUAUCCUAAGCUAGUUUUAUUCUUUAAAAUCUAUCAUUUCUAGCCUUAAACCCACCAAAUGAGCCCGAUCUUACUCAAGGAAGUCAAAUAAUGCUAUAAGAAUCACUUCCAAGUGAUAAAUCUUUGAUCUAUUAACAAAAUUUCAAAAGUCAAUAAAAGUCAACCCAGAGCUAAUGUGGUCAAAUCUCGAAAGUCAGAUCUCAUUGAUCCAUAUUCUCACGAGUCUAAAUUUAUAAUUAGUUUCUAAACCAAACCUAAAUAUUGGUGUUCAAAACCCAAAAAUAUACUUUAUUAACUUCAACAUCAAACAUCUUAUUUCUUUCUAUUAAAAUCCUUGAUUCUAAGGCAAAAUCUAUAAUAGAUUCAUGUUAUAAUUAUAAGCUUGAUUAAAAAUCACUUAUCCCAUCAUCUUAAGUGAAAAUUACUUUGAAAAUAGCUUCAAUCAUAGAUAUCUAGCUCCCAAAAUGAUAAAACAAAAUCCAAAUACAAAAUAAAUAUUAAUAGCAAAAGGCAAAUUGUUUUGCUCCGAGCCUUGGACAAGAUGUUGCAUGCGAAGCAUCUAUGCUUCAUCCUCAUCUUAGCCUGCAACGAAGGACUCCCACCUUGGCCUCCAUAUUUGAUGCAUUUUAUGCAAUAUUUUACUUCUAAUCACCCUCCAAACAUCCCGACCCCUCUAAACCAUCCUAACUAUUUCACAUCCACCUUGGUCUCCAUUAUGGCGCAUUUUAUACAAAAUUUUAAACUUCUAAGUCUCUCUUCAAGCACCUACAAACUCACCCGAGCCCCCGAAGACUCCUCCAAACUAUCUAAAGUAGACCAUAUACCAUGUGCAAACUUAUCUAAAGGGUCAAAAUAUGUAUGGAAAUAUCCCAAUGAGAAAUUAAGGCCCAAACUAAACUUUUGAAGUUUAUUGAGCUGUUAAAAUUUCAACUUUCACUUCAUAUGUUUGAAUCACACCUAAGCUCCAUGACUGCUAAAAUAAAUAUAUGUAUAAGUUCAAAUCAUCAUACGAACAUAUAGGAACAUUAACUCAAGAAUCCGAGCAUGUUUACCUAAAAUAUCGAGUUUAGCCAACUCUCUUAACUUAACGCCUAUUUAGGAACUAAGGGGUCGUUUAGUAGGUGUAUAAGAAUAGUUCUCAAUAGGGUGUAUUAGUAACUAAUAGGUUGCAAGUACCUUGGGCAUAAGUACUUUACUUUAUAUUUUGAUGAUCUAACAAACUUAACAUCUAGAACUAGAUAAGGAACCUGUUACACAUUUACAAGACCUUGAGAUCACAAAGUUCCAGGUUGGGAUCCAACGUGGGAUAUAACUCAACUCUUCAGUGAGGAAGGAACAACUGAGGGAAUAGGUCCUUACUAGUUCCCGAGGAGACUAUAUGAAGUCAACUAUUCAGCAGGAAAGUUGCUGCCUGUACACACUACUGCACAGGAACAGUGUAGCAGUCAACUUUCUAUGGAAGGAUUUUUACCUACCUUUCUUACAUCAUUGCAAGUGAUAUCACUCACGUAUAGAAACAAUCAAGGAAGGUAAAACAACUUCAUGAGAGAACCAGAUAAAGGACUUGAAGCAUGCCUGGUAAAAUCAUUUAAGUUAAUAGACUCAAGAUACUUUGGGAAGUGUGCCUUUAGACUCACAAGAACCAGAUAAAGCACCUGAUUCUCCCCUGACAGAAGUAUAAGUCAACUGUACAGCUGGAAAGCAACUGCAGAACGUGACUAUCUACAACUCUACACACAAUAGUUCAACAAACAUUGCAACAGUCACUUCCCAUUGAUAAGAGGCGUGUACUAACCAAGAUUUGACAUCACUAAGGUGUUGUAUUUUGUAGUAUAAUGCUAGUACAAGGCAGAAGACAUCACUCCACAACAAUUGAAAAAUAAGAAAAUGAAAUAUUAUCUCAAGUGAUAGCAACAACCACUCUCAAGAACAAAGUUGUUGCAACUUCAAGGAUCUGAUCCAAGAUCAAAGAUAUCUUAAAUCCUUAGGUUUGUUAAGUCUUUGUUAUUUUUUAUGCAUUGUAACUCCUAUCUUACUGUCUUAGAAGCUAUUUUUACGAAAACUAAAAUCUGUAAACUAUUCAAUUUAUGUUGUCUAGGUUUAGUCAUAAGUUAAAUUCUUUGUAACUAGAGAGUUACAAAGUGGUUUGUAAUAAGUGUUGGUACAAGUUAGAGUGAGUAAAGGCCUUUAUAACUAUAGAGUGACAAAGUGGCUUGUGUUGAGAGCAUCACAAGUUAGUUGAAGUCUUUGUAACUAGGGAGUCACAAAUUUAAACUUUCACAUGAUAUUUUUGAAUCACACAUGAGCCCCAUGACUGCUAAACCAAAUAUAUAUAUAAGUUCAAAUUAUCAUACGAACCUAUAUGAACAUUAAAUCAUGAAUCCGAGCAUGUUUACCUAAAAUCUCGAGUUUAGCCAAUUCUCUUAUCAUAAUUCCUAUUUAGGAACUAAGGGGUCGUUUAGUAGGUGUAUAAGAAUAGUACUCAAUAUGGUGCAUUAGUAACUAUUAGGUUACAAGUACCUUGGGCUUAAGUACUUUACUUUAUGUUUUGAUGAUCUAACAAACUUAACAUCUAGAAAUAUAUAAGGAACAUGUCACACAUUUACAAGACCUUGAGAUCACAAAGUUACAGGUUGGGAUCCUGCGUGGGAUAUAACUCAACUCUUCAGAGAGGAAGGAACAACUGAGGGAAUAGGUCCUUACCAGUUCCCAAGGAGACUAUAUGAAGUCUACUAUUCAGCAGGAAAGUUGCUGCCUGUACACACUACUACACAGGAACAGUGUAGCAGUCAACUUUAUAUGGAAGGAUUUUUAACUACCUUUCUUACAUCAUUGCAAGUGAUAUCACUCACGUAUAGACACAAUUAAGGAAGGUAAAUCAACUUACUUAAUGAGAGAACCAGAUAAAGGACUUGAAGCAUGCCUGGUACAUUCGUUUAAGUUAAUAGACUCAAGAUACUUUGGGAAGUAUGCCUUUAGACUCACAGGAACCAGAUAAAACACCUGAUUUCUUGGUGUUCCCCUGACAUAUGUAUAAGUCAAUGUACAACUGGAAAGAAACUGCAGAACAUGACUAUCUGCAACUGUACACACAAUAGUUCAACAGACAUUGCAACAGUCACUUCCCAUUGAGAAGAGACAUGUACUAACCAAGAUUUUACAUCACUAAGGUGUUGUAUUUUGUAGUAUAACCCUAGUGCAAUGCACAAGACAUGACUCCACAACAAUUGCAAAAUAAGAAAACCCUAGUGCAACUGGAAAGAAACUGCAGAACAUGACUAUCUGCAACUGUACACACAAUAGUUCAACAGACAUUGCAACAGUUACUUCCCAUUGAGAAGAGACAUGUACUAACCAAGAUUUUACAUCACUAAGGUGUUGUAUUUUGUAGUAUAACCCUAGUGCAAUGCACAAGACAUGACUCCACAACAAUUGCAAAAUAAGAAAACCCUAGUGCAACUGGAAAGAAACUGCAGAACAUGACUAUCUGCAACUGUACACACAAUAGUUCAACAGACAUUGCAACAGUUACUUCCCAUUGAGAAGAGACAUGUACUAACCAAGAUUUUACAUCACUAAGGUGUUGUAUUUUGUAGUAUAACCCUAGUGCAAUGCACAAGACAUGACUCCACAACAAUUGCAAAAUAAGAAAAAGAAAUAUUCUCUCAAGUGCUACCAACAACCACUCUCAAGAACAAAGCUGUUGCAACUUCAAGGAUCUGAUCCAAGAUCGAAGAUAUCUUAAGUCCUUAGGUUUGUUGAGUCUUUGUUAUUUUUUAUUCAUUGUAACUCCUAUCUUACUGUCUUAGAAGCUAUUUUUACGAAAUCUAAAAUCUGUAAACUCUUCAAUUUAUGUUGUCUAGGUUUAGUCAUAAGUUAAAGUCUUUGUAACUAGAGAGUUACAAAGUGGUUUGUAUUAAGUGUUGUUACAAGUUAGAGUGAGUAAAAGCCUUUAUAACAAUAGAGUUAAAAAGUGGCUUGUGUUGAGAGCAUCACAAGUUAGUUAAAGUCUUUGUGUCUAGGGAGUCACAAAUUUCAACUUUCACAUGAUAUGUUUGAAUCACACAUGAGCCCCAUGACUGCUAAACCAAAUAUAUGUAUAAGUUCAAAUUAUCACACGAACCUAUAGGAACAUUAAAUCAUGAAUUCGAUCUCGUUUACCGAAAAUCUCGAGUUUAGCCAACUCUCUUAACUUAAAUUCCUAUUUAAGACUAAGGGGUUGUUUAGUAGGUGUAUAAGAAUAGUGCUCAAUAGGGUGUAUUAGUAACUGUUAGGUUACAAGUACCUUGGGCAUAAGUACUUUACUUUAUGUUUUGAUGAUCUAACAAACUUAACAUCUAGAACUAGAUAAGGAACCUGAUACACAUUCACAAGACCUUGAGAUCACAAAGUUCCAGGUUGGGAUCCAGCGUGAGAUAUAACUCAACUCUUUCAGAGAGGAAGGAGCAACUGAGAUAAUAGGUCCUUACCAGUUCCCGAGGAGACUAUAUGAAGUCAACUAUUCAGCAGGAAAGUUGCUUCCUGUACACACUACUGCACAGGAACAGUGUAGCAGUCAACUUUCUAUAGAAGGAUUUUUAACUACCUUUAUUGCAUCAUUGCAAGUGAUAUCACUCAUGUAUAGACACAAUCAAGGAAGGUAAAACAAGUUACUUCAUGAGAGAACCAUAUAAAGGACUUGAAGCAUGCCUGGUACAAUUAUUUAAGUUAAUAGACUCAAUAUACUUUGGGAAGUUUGCCUUUAGACUCACAGGAACCAGAUAAAAUACCUGAUUCCUUGGUGUUACCCUGACAGAAGUAUAAGUCAAGUGUACAGUUGGAAAGCAACUGCAGAACGUGACUAUCUACAACUGUACACAUAAUAGUACAACAUACAUUGCAACAAUUACUUCCCAUUGAGAAGAGGCAUGUAUUAACCAAGAUAUGACAUCACUAAGGUGUUGUAUUUUGUCGUAUAACCCUGGUGCAAGGCGCAAGACAUCACUCCACAACAAUUGCAAAAUAAGAUAAAGAAAUAUUCUCUCAAGUGCUAGCAACAAGCACUCUCAACAACAAAGCUGUUGCAACUUCAAGGAUCUGAUCCAAGAUCGAAAAUAUCUUAAGUCCUUAGGUUUGUUGAGUCUUUGUUAUUUUUUAUUCAUUGUAACUCCAAUCUUACUGUAUUAGAAGCUAUUUUUACGAAACCUAAAAUCUGUAAACUCUUCAAUUUAUGUUGUCUAGGUUUAGUCAUAUGUUAAAGUCUUUGUGACUAGAGAGUUACAAUGUGGUUUGUAAUAAGUGUUGUUACAAGUUAGAGUGAGUAAAAGCCUUUAUAACUAUAGAGUGACAAAGUGGCUUGUGUCGAGAGCAUCACAAGUUAGUUAAAGUCUUUGUAACUUGGGAGUCACAAAUUUCAACUUUCACAUGAUAUGUUUGAAUCACACAUGAGCCCCAUGACUGCUAAUCCAAAUAUAUGUAUAAGUUCAAAUUAUCAUACGAACCUAUAGGAACAUAAAUAAUGAAUCCGAGCUUGUUUACCUAAAAUCUCGAGUUUAGCUAACUCUCUUAACUUAAUUCCUAUUUAGGAACUAAGGGGUCGUUUAGUAGGUGUAUAAGAAUAGUACUCAAUAGGGCAUAUUAGUAACUGUUAGGUUACAAGUACAUUGGGCAAUAGUAUUUAACUAUAUGAUGAUCUAACAAUCUUACCAUCCAGAACCAGAUAAGGAAUCUGUUACUCAUUUACAAGACCUUGAGAUCACAAAGUUCUAGGUUGGGUUCUAGCGGGAUUUAACUCAAAUCUUUAAAGUGGAAGGAACAACUGAGGGAACAUGUCCUUACCAGUUCCUGAGGAGACUAUAUAAAGUCAACUCUCCAGUAGGAAAGUUGGUGCAUGCACACGCUACUGCACAUGAACAGUGAAUCACUCAACUUUCUAUUGAAGGCUUUUUACCUACCUUUCUUACAUAAUUGUAAGUGAUGUCACUCAUGUAUAGACAUAAUCAAGGAAGGUAAAAAAACUUACAUCACGAGAGAACCAGAUAAAUGACCUGAAGCAUGCCUGGUACAAUCAUUCAAGUUAAUCAACUCAAGAUACUCUGGGCAGUGUUCCUUUAGACUCAUAGGAACUAGAUUAGGGACCUGAUACCUUGGUGUUCCCUUGGCAGAAGUAUAAGUCAGCUGUACAGAUGGAAAGAAACUGUAGAAAGUGACUGCCUGUACAUGCAACAGUUCAGCAGACAGUGCAACAAUCACUUCCCAUUAAGAAGAGGCAUGUAUUAACCAAGAUUUGACAUCACUAAGGUGCUGUCUUUUGUAGUAUAAACCUGGUGCAAGGAACAAGACAUCCCUCCCAAGAUUUGCAGAAUAAGAAAAAUUAAUAUUCUUUCAAGUGCUAGCAACAACCUCUCUCAAUAACAAAGCUGUUGCAACUUCAAGGAUCUGAUCCAAGAUCGAAAAUAUCUUAAGUCCUUGUGUUUGUUGAGUCUUUGUUAUUUAUUCUUCAUUUUUACUCCUAUCUUGUUGUCUUAGAAUCUGAUUUUACGAAACCUAAAAUCCAUAAAUUCUUCAUUUUAUGUUGUGACUAGGUUUAAUCAUAAGAUAAAGUCUUUAUAACUAGAGAGUUACAAAGUGGCUUGUAAUAAAUGUUGUUACAAGUUAGAGUGAGUAAAAGGCUUUCUAACUAUAGGGUGACAAAGUGAUUGUGGUGAGAGCAACACAAGUUAGUUAAAGCCUUUGUAACUAGGGAGUCACAAAGUGGCAUGUGGUAAGAGUCCCACAAGUUAGUUGAAUUCUUUGUAAUAGAGUCAUUACGAAGUGGCAUGUAACAGGUGUCCACAAGUUAGUGAAGUUAAAAAUCUACAAGUGUAGGUCAUUGUUUUUGUCCCCUUGAGUUGAGAGUUUUUCCCGUAAAAAUACUCUGUGUUCUUUUCUUACUGCCGAGCUACUAUGGAAUAAUUAAAGAACCUGAUUCCAUAUACUGGCUGGUUUUACAAUUUGUUGCUUACAGUAUGAGCUGAUAGAGAAUCUGGUUCUUUACAUUGUAGGAACUUAUCUUGUGUCUCAUUUACAUAUUGGUGCACUGUGGGCACUAAUAUAGGAUCAGAUCGCUUUAUAGUUUGGUUCAUUAGUAUCUUUAGUGGAAACUCAUAGAGAACCUGGUUCUCUAUGCAGUCUGGUGGACGUUUGGUUUCUAAAAAUUGGUAUCCGAGUGGGUUCUUUCUAAAAGGUUAACACCUAGAAAAGAUCUACAUUUCUACUCUACCUAACAUCGAGAAAAGUCGAUCAACCAAUAGUGCACAAAGAUUUUAAAAAAUGGUUCAUAGGAAUGGAGGUACUCCCAAGAAGGGUAGUUCUAGCAGAAAUACUAAAGGAUAUGAGUGUUGUCACACGUGCGAAAAAUCAUGGCAUUUCAUCAAAGGCUACCCAUUCUAAAAUAAGAGCAUUAUAAAUACAACCCUCACAAAGUUGCAAAAAGGAACCCGGUCUCAGACAAAAACGUGUAGUCGACAAUGUUGUGAAGCAAGCUCUUGCUGCAAGGGGAGACUCCUCCAGGCAGAAGAGGAACCAGAUGCAGGAAGCAGCUCCAUGAUGGCAGCGGCAAAUGAAUAUGAUUCCAUUUUUGCAUUGAUAGAUAUAUAAUGAGAAUGAAGAAGAAGAUGAUGAUGAGGUAAACUUCUUCGAUGUUCAAAGAAAUCUAAAGUAUUAUCAUCCGGAAAAACUUAUGUCUUUCGUUAAUGUUUUAAUAUAUGCGUAUCAUAGUCUUAUAAAUGAUAAAGAUUCCUUAACUGUGGAACAAGGAGAAGUAGAACAAUCGAGAGAAGAUCUAGAAGUUCGAGUUGUAGACUUAGAAGAAAGCAUUGAGAGUCUAAAGAAAGAAAAAGAUGUCUUAAUUGAAAAAAUUGUAAACAUAGGACAUGAGAGAGAUAAUCUAGUGGUUGUUGUGGUCAAUCUAAAGGAAACUAUUGAGUGUGUUAGAAAGGAGAAAGAGGUCUGAACUGAGAAGGUUUCUACCAUUGAGCAUGAGAGAGAUGCCGUAUUAGUUGGGGGUGUAGACCUUAAGAUAAAAAUUGAGGAACUAAAAAUGGAAAGUAGGCCUGGGAACACUCAAAAAGGAAAGAAAGUUGCAAGUGAGGCAUACAUUAAGCUUGAAAGUGAGUUAAAUUUAGUGAAGUCUAGUCUAUGUGCUGAGUUUGAGAAAAACAAACAACUUCAAGAAGAACUAGGUAAAGUGAAGAAUGAUCUUGAAAAAUUACUCAAGUGGACCUGGUCCUAUGAUGAUAUCACUACCUUGUACACAAAUAAUGGGGGAAACAGGUAGGGAAUCUAGUUCGAAAGAGAAAAGACUCCCUACUACCCUCAUAGAAAGUACAUUACUGUACCUGAUAAUUGGCUUUGCACUCACUGUGGAAACACAUGGCACAUUAAAGAAAAUUGAAGGUUAGAAUUUAGUCUUAGUAGAAAAACAAAGUUUUUGCUAAAAAAGUAACUGUUGCUACGGAACCUGGUCCUUCACAUAAAAAAUGUAUAAUGCGUGCUUGGACUAAAAGAGCCCUCAUUCACCCCUUUUCUAAUUACAAGGACUCCUGUAAAGUUUAAAUUUAGUCAUUGGAGAAAAAUAAAGUUUUUAUUAAAAGGAGACAUAUUGAUGAGGAACCUGGUUCCCAGAAAAGAAAAUAUGUGCUACCUGCAUAGGCAUGAAAGAGUUUGAUCCGCCCGUUCAUCAUUACAAGAGACCCAAUCUCGUUUGGGUUCCUAAGUCUAACUCAUGAUUUUCUUGUGCAGGGAACAGUGAAAGGGAGCACCCUACAAUGGUACAUGGAUAGUGGUUGUUCAAAGCAUAUGACUGGAAGUACAAAUGAUUUCCUUUCACUUAUGGCCCUAUAAGGAUGGAAUGUACCCUCUGAGAAUGGAAAGAAGAGAUAGACUCUAGGAAUAGGAAGGAUUGGGAAGUCAGUCACUCACUCACUCAAUUGAGAACGUGUACUAUGUCAAUGGCCUGAAGUAUAGCGUCUUGCGUGUUUCUCAGAUAUGUGACAAGGGAAAUAAAGUAUAAUUCUUGUCCAAGAUAUGUACAGUCAAAAAUCGUGUGACUGGUGAGGUGGUUCUUGUGGCAAAAAGAUACAAGAAUAUUCAUAUUGCUGAUUUUAAGUCCAUGUAUGGUGGUGAUCCAACGUGCCUAAGUGUCAUUGAUGAUGAUGCUGAGCUAUGGUGAAGAUAACUAGGCAUGUGAGUUUCUAUUUGUUGAAGAAGUUGGUUAUGAAGGACCUGGUUCAUAAGUUGAAGCAGUCAAAACUGUUCGCUACUUGAUUAACAAGUGGAUGAUUAGGUCCCUUCUCAAGAAGUCUCUCUAUGACCUGCUCAAUUGGAGAAAAGCUAAGUUGACUUACUUGAUAGCCUUUGGAUGCAAAAUGUUUUAUUCUUCACAAUGGUGGUAAAAGGGUCAUAAAACAAAUAAGAUAAAGAUGGAGAUUCACAAAUGCUCCUGGUAAAGCUGUAGAUAUUGCAAAUGGAAAGACUGAUUUGAUGAGUCAAGUCAAGUAGAAGGAUAAAAGAGAUGCAGUAGAAUCACUAAAAGGCACUGAAGAACCUGGUCCCUUUAUCACCUCGACUUGAGCUAAACAUAGGGUUGUUGAUGCUUUAUUAGGUACUCCUUAUGUAGAAUUAAAUAGCAGAAGUAACAAUUCUGUUGAUGUCAAUGAUGAUUCACAUAUGGAAGAACCUGGUUCUUCAAAUUCUGAAGUUCAAGUAUCCAACUAGAAGCAAAAGAGUUCACAUCCCUUGAAAAUGUAAUCACAUCUUAGAUUCUGGUAUCCAACCUAGUUCAAAGGUAAGGAAGAUGUUCUCUCUCUCAGCAUUCUCAUCCUAAAUUGAGCCUAAGAACAUCAAAGAAGCAUUGAAAAAAGUGCUAACUGGAUAGCCACUAUGUAAGAAGAACUCCAUCAGUUAAGAGGAACCAAGUGUGGACCUUGGUCCCUAGGCCUUCAUACAGGAUAGUGAUUGGAACCUGGCCAAAAACACUCUCACUUGAAGGUUUCCAAGAGAAGUUUGAGGUAUCCUAAGGGAACGUACGACCUGGUCCUCAUCUUUGUUCAGGAGAUUCUUUUGAUUUGGUUGGAUAUGUUGAUGUUGAUUAUGUUAAAUAUCUGGUGGACCAAAUGAGAACUUCCGAAAUGACACAUUUUCUGAGGUCAUGGGGUAAAACGAAACGAACUGGGUGGCUCUUUCUACGGUGAAGCUGACUACAUGGUUUCUUUUCUUAUUGUGCUCAACUACUACAGAUCAAGCAACAUCUUUAAGACUUUGGUGUAUUUACCAACUUGAACCCUGUACAACGUAAAAGGACAAAGAGCAUCGAUAUGCGGCAUCACUUUUUGAGGGAUAAUGUAUAAAAGGUUCUGAUUUGUAUGAAGUACUAGAAGAUAGAGGAUCAGGUGGCAGAACUUUUCACCAAGGCGCUAAGCAGGGAAUAUUUUGAUAUAAAUUGUCUGGAGUUAAUGUUGAUCAAGCUCAACUGAGAACCUGGUCCUUCGAUGAUUGGCUAUGUUAAGAAGGAAAGGUACGAUGCCAAAAAAUAUUUUUCAAUGACAUCUAACUCAAAUCUAUACCGUUACAGGUAUACACAUAUGGUAGUUUCAGGACACAAACAAGUAAGAGCUACUUUGAACAUAUAUGAGUCUUUGCUCAAAAGUUUCAAAAAUCGUCUUGGAACCUAGUUCUUGUGACUCAGGUUAGUAGUCUCUUCAAAACUUAUAUAUUUUUUUAAGCUGCCAAGUGUCAUGUUAUUAAUUUGUUUCUGCCUUUCUCUUGCCUCUCCUCCUAACUUUUGAAGUCCAAAAUGUUAAACAUUUUCUGAACUGACCCAUUGCCCCCAAAAGGCAUUUCUCUAUAUUACACCCAAAUAAAACCGAUUCUUUACUUCAAAACCAAAAUCAACCUUGUCUCAAAAUAAUCUUUCUUUCCCAAUAUGCCAGAAGUGAACCCAACUUUCUCACUUUCCAAAAACCUAACUCCAUCAGAAUCAAAACCUCAAGAAUUCUUUGGUAGAUUUAGAUGGAAGUUUAAUUGAUAGGGAACAUGGUAGAUCUAAUAUUCUAUAGCAUGAGGCUGAAGUUGGAGUUAGAUUUGUGGAAGCCUUGAAGGAUGGAGAAAUUGGUAACUGUGAGGACUGAAUGAGGGACAUGAUCCAUCAAGUCCUUCUCACAAAGUCAAUUUUAAUGAUGAUCGUUUUCUCUUUGAGUUCUGUAUAUAAAAGAACUUCCGAUCCAGUAAAAAAUGAUAGAUGAAAAGUAGGCUGAUAGAUGAUGAAGUGGUGUGACCGAUUCUUUGUGAGAAAUAAUAUAAAAAAAAGAAAAACACAAAAAAGGGGUUGGUUGAGAAAGAUACAGCAAAUGAUAAGGGUAAAGAGAUUGUGCAGAAGAAGAGGGAGACAUGGCUGCUCAGGGAUAAAAAAGGGUAGUGUAAGUGAGGAACCUGGUUCCUUACAGAAGCAAAAGGUUGAGCUAUUGGUUUGGAGGGAGAAGAUUUUGAAGUCUGAGAAAGUGCUGUAAGGGAGAGUGUUGACUCUAAUAUUGCUGAAAAGUGGAGGAACUUCUUGACAUUGUUGCGUUCCAAAAAUAGUAUCAUCUCUUUGGUCCUCCAAGUCCCAAUAUUUCUUAAAAAGAAUGAAAAACUUCUAUGUUUUACGUGAUACUAUGAUUCUAUAUGUGCAAUAGACUGAGUCUGUUCUUGAUUAGAUGAAGCUUGGGGAGAGUCAUGGUGAUCUGAUUGAUGGUUCAACCUACUCAAUAGGUUGAGAACUUGUUCUUUGAGGACCCCUGCCAGAAUAGAAUGCUAAAUUGAAGGGUGAGAAUGAAAGAUUGAGGAAAUAGGUGGAGGAACUAAGAGAAUAGAUGAUCAUUGAUCAAAUGAUAGUAAAUGAACGAACGGAUAAGCUUAUCAAGGCCUUAACCCCUUACGUUUCCUCCUGCCCAGUGAUUUACGGCUUUCUCUCCUUCCAAAUUCCCUUGAAUUCUUAUCUUCUUUUGAUCCCUAUAACUGGUGACAUUGGUACUUUAGUUGUUUAAAUUGUCAUAUUACGUACUAUUGAAACUGUUGUGCUUUUACUAUAAUUACUCUAUUAUGGGCAAUCGCUCUAUUUUGUGUACUGAUAUUUCACUUGUUUUUCUUAUUCUUAUUUAUGCUGUGUUGCCCAAAAGGCCUGAGUCAAUGUUACUGAACUUCUUUUUGAUUUUGAUUCUUCUGUUAUUCUUUUCAAUGAUGUCAAAAGGGUGAAGUUAUAUAGGUGUCCACAUGGGGGAGGAACAUAAUCAAAUGAUAGUUGUGCUGUGCAUGAAUAAUGGCUUGGCUUUACAAGGGAAACGUUGCUGAUAAUAUGUUGAUUGCAGGUCUGAUCCACAGGGAAACAUGUAAGGAAUCUGGUUCUCAAAGAGGAAUAAUAAAUUUUUGGUUUGUCAUCAUCAAAAACGGAGAAAUUGAUCUAAGUUACACUAUGUCAUGUUCUUAUCAACUAUUUAGUUUAGUUUAUUAAAGGUUUGAAAGAGAACUUCUAUCUUUAUACAUGCUUAUUCAUGUAUUAAAAAUUAUAGUAUUGCUAAUGCCAUUGUCUGGCAUGUAUAAGAAUAGUACUGAACAAGCUGUUGUAUUAGUUACACAUAAGUUAAAAACACUACCAAUCAAUGUAUUUGUAAUAACAAAGCUAUGUGCUGAUUCCAGUAAGAAGGCAUUGAAUGCCUGAGAUAAAUUAUGUGCUCCAAAAGCAGCAUGAGGGCUAAAUUUCAUCAAUGUGGAAUGAAGCAUCCGUACGCAAUCUUCUUUUAAACAUAUCACAAAGAAAGAAAAAUUGUGGGUUCAAUAAAUACAUGCUUACUUUAUAAAAGAGAACACUAUAUGGAACAUUUAGCCAAAGAGUGCAUCGUGGGUUAUCCAAAAGAACUUCAAGGCCAAAGGACAAUUUGAAGAGGCUGGUUAUUCAGAGGAAAAACUAAAUCAAAUGGAAAAAUUCUCUACAAAGCAUUGCAAGGGAGCUUUCAAAAGGUGUCAUGGAGGAAGAUAGUCAGCAACAACAAUGAGCUUCUAAAAUAAACAUUCAUCUUAAGGCUGGCAAUACAAGAUAUGUUAGCCACCAAAGAAAGGCUAGCAAGAAGGGGAUUCACAGAAGACACAGACUGUUCACUAUUUCAAAAAAAGGAUGAGACAAUUCAAUAUUUGUUCUUUGAAUGUGCAGUAUAAUAUGAUGUAUGAAAGAAGGUUCUACAUUGGCAAGGAAUCACAAGAAGGAAAAAUGAAUGGCAGGAAGAUAGCUGCAGCAAUCUAUCAUAUAUGACAAGUAGGAAAUAGUACCAUUUUUCAGAAGAAGAAGAGUAAUGCAAAUACUACAGUUAAAUUGAUUAGAGCUCAGCAGGUUCCAAUAUUGAUAGUUUUUUGAGCAAUAUGAACUGGUAUUGAGACUGGGCUAAAGUGUAGAGGCAAUAGAAGAACAUACAGUUAGUUCAAAAAUCUCCUUGCUGGGGCUUCAUGUCCAACAUGAGCUCUGUUAGGCAGGCUGGUUUUUGUAAAGCUGUAAAUAUUUUACUUGGUAAAUAAAGUCUUUAUUUACAAAAAAUAAAAUAAAAUACCAAAGCUAAUACAAUGUAUUAUUUUCCCUAAGAUAUCCUACUAAAGGAUCCCUAAGUAUUAUAAAUCACUCUGGAACCUCUUGGGACAUGUACCACCAUGUCCACAAGUCGUAAAACAUCAAAUAAACCAAGGUGAAGUAUCAAAUAAGGAAAUAGGAGCCUAAAACUUAAAACAACUGGUCGGGUCAUUACACAUAAACGAUAAAAAAGAAUUUUCUUUUUUUCUUUCGACAUAAUCCUUCUGUUUCAAAAGUCUUUUUUUUAAAACUUCGUGUCGAGUUAAAUAUGUUCACAUAAACAUAAAUUAAAAUGGAGGGAGUAUAACAGAAGCUUGACCGAAAUUAUAAAUAUAUUUAAGCAAAAAAAAGGAUGAACAAAAAACUUCUAUAAUUUAUCUCAAAAGCUUCGGAAACUACAUACAAUAUCCAAAACAAACACAACUAGAAUAAUAAUGGAAUUAACAAACAGAAAGCUGAGGAACCCGAAGCUUGCAUCUUGUCAACGUAUCUUUUCAAAAAAACCUAAGACAUGACCACCUUAAACUCAUUUGUCAUGUCACAAAAGAAGAAGAAUUCCCUUUAAACUUCAAAUAUUAAUAUUUAAUUAGGACCAUGAUCCCUUCUUUCUAAAUAGGAGUAAACAUUUUUGGUAAAUCAAUAAGAAAGAAAGGAAAUAGAAAAGCUUUUUAAAUUUUGUUGGAGCGUAUGGUAAAUGAGGGGAGGAAGCUUCAAUUAUUUAUUCCACUAAAAAUAUGGGAGUUCCAUCGCACGUCAAUCGCCUCUAUCUGGUCAUGUCUGAUCUGAUAGAGGAUGUACUUGUUUUAACUGUUGAAACCUUCUGUUCCUCAGCUUUCUGUCCCAUCCACUAAUAUUCCCAAAAGGAAUGGAGGACUCUCUCUCGUAGGCCCUGCUCCCAAUCAACCAGCACUCCUUUUCCUACUUUUUCCUUUCCUAAUCUCUUCACUGUUCUGCUAAGUCAGAAGACAAGAUUAUGAAAAAGUGAACUUGUACAGUAUGCAGCAAUACUAGGCUAGCUACACCAAAUUAAUGCACAACACAAAAAGGAAAAAAGUGAAAACAUGCAGAGAAUCGGAGAAAAUUUAGAGAGAGAAAGUAGAGAGAAGGAGGAGAGAAUAGAAGAGUCUCGAAGAAGACUCAGUUCCAAAAGGCCCUGCUCCCAAUCAACCAGCACUCCUCCUUUUCCUACCUUUUCCUUUCCUAAUCUCUUCACUGUUCUGCUUAGUCAGAAGACAAGAUUAUGAAAAAGUAAUACUUGUACAGUAUGCAGCAAUACUAGCUACGCCAAAUUAAUGCACAACAGAAAAAGAAAAAAAAGAGGAGGAAAAUUAUAGCCAAGAGAUAUUAAUCCUUUUUUCCUUGGCUCAUGCUCUCACGACCUUUCAAGAAUCUAUAGCACUAGUCAAGAAUAUGUACCAAGUGAGAUUUAGUUUUAUCCUGUGUUUGAUCGAAUCUUCUU
rnacentral:lncRNA from 1 species